GUGCUCCCUAUAGCAGCACAUAUACUAAAACUGGAGCAAUUCAAAGAAGAUUAGCAUGGCCCCUGCAUAAGGAUGACACACAGACUCAUCAGGCAUUCCAUAUUUUU